AAAUAAGAAACAAAAAAUUGUAUUUAGUUUCGACCUAAUCUUUGAUGAUAAACAUCCUUAUUUA
rnacentral:tRNA from 1 species